UGGCUCAGAACGAACGCUGGCGGCAGGCCUAACACAUGCAAGUCGAGCGCCCCGCAAGGGGAGCGGCAGACGGGAGAGUAACACGUGGGAACGUACCCUUUGGUCCGGAACAACCCAGGGAAACUUGGGCUAAUACCGGAUAAGCCCUUACGGGGAAAGAUUUAUCGCCGAAGGAUCGGCCCGCGUCCGAUUAGCUAGUUGGUGUGGUAACGGCGCACCAAGGCGACGAUCGGUAGCUGGUCUGAGAGGAUGAUCAGCCACACUGGGACUGAGACACGGCCCAGAGACCUACGGGAGGCAGCACUGGG
rnacentral:rRNA from 2 species